rnacentral:rRNA from 1 species
UACGGAGGGUGCGAGCGUUACCCGGAUUUACUGGGUGUAAAGGGCGUGUAGGCGGUCUCUCAAGUCCGAUGCUAAAGACAGAGGCUCAACCUCGGGAGUGCGUUGGAUACUGUGAGGCUAGACGGUCGGAGAGGGCAGCGGAAUUCUAGGAGUAGCGGUGAAAUGCGCAGAUACCGAGAGGAACGCCAAUAGCGAAGGCAGCUGCCUGGAGGAUUUGUGACGCUGAGGCGAGAAAGCGUGGGGAGCAAACCGG